rnacentral:misc_RNA from 1 species
GUAUAUAACUUUUAUUAUAGGUACAAGGACCUGAUUCAACAUUCUAAACGUGUUCUAGAGGUUGUGAAAAUGACAUAGACCUGAAAAAUACAAGGGAAAGCCGACUUUUAUUGAGCACAGCAGUCCCCAACUCGAAUAAGAAUUCAUUCAGGUCUACAAGGUGUGUGCACAGGUUGGAGAAAUUAUAAAGAUGACAAGCGUGCACAUACCCCCAGGGGGGGGCCAGCAACAGCCUGUUCAUGUUUAUUCAAUAAUGAUCCUUCCGCAGGUUCACCUACGGAAA